rnacentral:rRNA from 1 species
UACGGAGGGUGCGAGCGUUGUCCGGAAUCACUGGGCGUAAAGGGUGCGCAGGCGGUUUUUUAAGUCUGAUGUGAAAGCCCCGGGCUUACCCCGGGAAGUGCAUUGGAUACUGGGAGACUUGAGUACGGGAGAGGAGAGCGGAAUUCCUGGUGUAGGGGUGAAAUGCGUAGAUAUCGGGAGGAACACCAGUGGCGAAGGCGGCUUCCUGGCCUGUUCUUGACGCUGAGGCGCGAAAGCUAGGGGAGCAAACGGG